ensembl:rRNA 5S_rRNA 5S ribosomal RNA
AUAUACUGCCAUAUCACCCUGCAGCCCAAGACUGGUUGCCCACUGAAGCUAAGCAGGGUUGAGCCUGGUCAGUACCUGGAUGGGAGACCUCUUGGGAAAACUAGGUAGCUGUUGGAA